rnacentral:rRNA from 1 species
AUGCUUGGACAUGGGUUGGAUGUACUCGACCCUGAAACAGAGGUGGAAGCAUCGGCGGAACUUCCGGCGGCGGACCAUGGUGCUUUUCAGGACCUCGACAUGGAAGACAUUGUGAAUGCGGGCGCGUGGGGGCAGCUCCAAAUGAUAAGCAACCGUAUCGAUUUUAGCGAGGACUUUGAAAGGCCCAUAAUUUUUGGGAGCCAAUUUCCCUUUGGCGCCUACUCCAAGGAACCGACCGAUGCUGAAGACGGAGCCAAACCCAUUCUCCAACAUCAAAAGAAAGGGCCCGAUGCUUAUCAUCAUAGUAAUGCUUGUACUGUUGUGUUGCCUGAAGGAGACGAUCACAGAUGUCGAGUAAGAAUUGAUCGCGGUUGA